GUUCCAGUGGCCUAGUGGUUAGAACAUCUGCCUAGGAUUUAGGAGGUUGUGGGUUCAAACCCCGGUCGAGUAAUA